AGAGUUUGAUCCUGGCUCAGAACGAACGCUGGCGGCGUGUCUUAAGCAUGCAAGUCGUGCGGCAAGGACAGCAAUGUCCCUAGAGCGGCGGACUGGUGAGUAACGCGUGGGUGAUCUACCCUUGGGUUGGGGAUAGCCAUUAGAAAUAGUGGGUAAUACCGAAUACGUUCGCGAGGCUGUGGCCUUGCGAGGAAAGGCGCUUCGGCGCCACCCGAGGAUGAGCCCGCGUCCCAUUAGCUAGUUGGUGAGGUAAUGGCCCACCAAGGCGAUGAUGGGUAGGCGGCCUGA
rnacentral:rRNA from 1 species